AGUGCCUUCGGGAGCCAAGACACAGGUGCUGCAUGGCUGUCGUCAGCUCGUGUCGUGAGAUGUUGGGUUAAGUCCCGUAACGAGCGCAACCCUUGUCCCUAGUUGCCAGCGAUUCAGUCGGGAACCUCAAGGAAACCCCCGGGGAUAAACCGGAGGAAGGGGGGGAAGAA
rnacentral:rRNA from 1 species